rnacentral:lncRNA from 1 species
GCAGGUUUCAGAUGCUUUCUUUGGAUAUUAGUAAUAACACUCUCACAUAACUGUUAUUUAUGCUGAAUUUAUGAUUAAACUUUAUGGCAGGAACUGAUAUUAAUUGUGGAACAUAUAUGCUGAGGCACACUAAAGCUGCAAUCGAGCAAGGGAAGGUUUCAGAGAGAGACAUAGAUAGAGCAUUGCUCUAUCUGUUUUCUGUUCAACUCCAACUUGGGCUUUUUGAUGGAGCUCCUGGUAGAAAUCGAUACUGGAACUUUGGACCUCGAGAUGUAUGCUCUUCAGAGCACAAGAAUUUGGCUCUUGAAGCAGCAAGGCAGGGUAUUGUGCUUCUAAAGAAUGACAAGAAAUUCCUGCCAUUACAUAAACACAGUAUCUCUUCACUAGCCAUUAUCGGUCCUAUGUCGAAUUCAACCAAUUUGGGCGGUGGCUAUGUAGGUAUGGAUAUUUUACAUUUACAGAGUUUUAUUUAAUGAGAACUUAUAUUUAAAUACAAUUUAUGGUUUUUUUGUCAUCAUAGGCUUACCAUGUGGACAUUUUUCAUAAAUGAGUUCGGCGAGACAUGACCUCAUAUUUUUGUUAGCUUUGAGACCAUAUUGAAUCAGCUGAUUUUGAAGCUUAGGUGGGGACAAAUUUUGUUAUUUAAAUCAUUUUCAUUAUAGGUUUGACAAGUGGACAUCUUUCAUAUGUAUAUCUACAGUUUUGUUAGGUCUGAGAACAUGUUGAAUUAAUCUCAUUUAAAGCAUAAAUUGUUAGAGGGGACAAAUUUAUUUAUUUAAAAUGUCUACAACAUCCACGAACAUCUAAUUUAACUUAUGAAUGAAGGCAAAUUAAAUCCAAAAUGUGAUGUUGUCAAUGAUUUCUCGGGAAAUAUUUGAAUGAAGCUACUUUUCCAUCAAACACCGUCACCCGUGAAAAAGCUUUUAUAUUUCCAAGACCUUCGAAAGGUCAUGUCCUCGACAUAGUUUUUUUUUAUUGUAAAUCUAUUUGUACUGAGAAGAAAUAGUACACAAUUGAAAAUCAAGACUAUUGUAAGAUUCUCCUAAGUCCUAGGUAAUAUGCUUAUGCAAAUUGGCUGUUUGGAAUUUUAUCCCUUUUGUAGGAGUUCCAUGUGAACAAAAAAGCAUUCUUCAAGGAUUCCAAGAACAUGUAGAGAACACGUAUUAUGCUGCGGGAUGCAAAGAUAUACCUUGUAAUUCAAGCUCCAGUUUUGCAGAAGCUCUGUCCAUUGCUACAGAAGCCGAAUAUGUAAUUGUUGUGGCUGGACUGGAUUUAUCACAAGAAGCGGAGGACCUUGACCGGUAUAGUCUUCUCUUGCCAGGGUAUCAGACGGAACUCAUUAAUUCUGUUGCUGCCUCAAGUAAGAAACCACUGAUUUUAGUUCUUACCGGUGGUGGACCAAUUGACGUAUCCUUUGCCAAGGGAGACCUGCGUAUUGCUAGCAUUCUUUGGAUUGGUUACCCUGGAGAGACUGGUGGAAGAGCACUUUCGGAUAUUAUCUUUGGACACCAUAAUCCAGGUUCGUAAAUGCGACUUCCAGAUCCUGGAUUAGAAUCAUGAUACACUAGAUAAUGAUGCAAUUUUUGAAUGAAAACAGGCGGAAGACUACCCAUGACUUGGUAUCCUGAGUCGUUUACCAAUGUACCAAUGAGCGACAUGAACAUGCGAGCUGAUUCUUCUCAAAAUUACCCGGGAAGAACCUAUCGGUUUUACAUUGGAGAUCGACUCUACAAAUUUGGAUAUGGAUUAAGCUACGCAAGUUUUACAUACAAAAUUCUAGCAGCUCCUAGCAAACUGAGUUUACAAGGUUUUAUCAAGGCUGGACCACGAAGGACCAUGCUUUCUGAUAGAAGCAGUGCUCUUGACUAUAUUCUUGUUGAUGAGGUGGAAUAUUGCAACUCAUUGAGGUUCAACGUGCAAAUUUCUGUGACAAAUGAUGGAGACGUGGAUGGAAGCCAAGUUGCUCUGUUAUUUUCGAGAACGUCAAAAUCUUUCAAGGGUUCUCCCGAAAGACAGCUUAUUGGUUUUGAACGUGUCCACACACUAUCCUAUAAAACUGUUGAAAUGAGCUUUCUGGUAUACCCGUGUGAACAUCUUAGCAUUGCAGAUGAGCACGGAAAUAGAAUAUUGCCUUUGGGUGAUCAUAUUCUAAUAUUAGAAGACAAGGAGCAUGUUCUUUCAAUUGAAAUGUGACAAAAUCUAAAUUCAGUCCAGCACUCAAAUUGGAUUUUCAUUAGAGAGUUUCUUUGUGAAUUCAUCUUAAUCCGGGUUCUGGACAGUGCAGUUUCCUUUGAUGCAACACUUCGAUCAUAAAAAUCGGUAGCUCUACAGCAUUAAAUAUUUUCUGUCAGGUAACUUGUGCUUUUAUUCUGAUGGAUAUAGAGUUUGUGUCUCAUGUGAGUGAAAGGGUGAGAUCAUCAUAAUGUAUAAGAUGACUGUACAACACAUUCUACAAACCACAAAUUGAUUAUCUAUUCUAAUUUCACAAGAAUAUUUAACAACUUUUAUUAAUAACUCGU